UACGGAGGGUGCAAGCGUUAUCCCGGAUUUACUGGGUUUAAAGGGUGCGUAGGCGGCUCUUUAAGUCAGUGGUGAAAGCCUGGUGCUUAACACCAGAAUUGCCAUUGAUACUGGAAAGCUUGAGUAGAGGAGAGGUAAGCAGAAUUCAUGGUGUAGCGGUGAAAAUGUAUAGAUACCAUGAGGAAUCUCAAUAGCGAAAAGCAGCUUACUGGCCUCUUACUGACGCUGAGGCACGAAAGCGUGGGGAGCAAACAGG
rnacentral:rRNA from 1 species